GAUGAACGCUGGCGGCGUGCCUAAUACAUGCAAGUCGAGCGAACAGAUGAGGGGCUUGCUCCUCUGACGUUAGCGGCGGACGGGUGAGUAACACGUGGAUAACCUACCUAUAAGACUGGGAUAACUUCGGGAAACCGGAGCUAAUACCGGAUAAUAUAUUGAACCGCAUGGUUCAAUAGUGAAAGACGGUUUUGCUGUCACUUAUAGAUGGAUCCGCGCCGCAUUAGCUAGUUGGUAAGGUAACGGCUUACCAAGGCAACGAUGCGUAGCCGACCUGAGAGGGUGAUCAGCCACACUGGAACUGAGACACGGUCCAGACUCCUACGGGAGGCAGCAGUAGGGAAUCUUCGGCAAUGGGCGAAAGCCUGACGGAGCAACGCCGCGUGAGUGAUGAAGGUCUUCGGAUCGUAAAACUCUGUUAUUAGGGAAGAACAAAUGUGUAAGUAACUAUGCACGUCUUGACGGUACCUACUCAGAAAGCCACGGCUAACUACGUG
rnacentral:rRNA from 1 species